GGAAGAAUGUAUAGCGAAAGCUAAUUGUAUUAGCAGGCAACGGUUAAUACAAUAUCGUCUAUGGCGACUAAAGUUCUAGGUAGAGUAAUGAUAAUGACAUUUUUUACCUAUGUGUCUUGACCAAGUCACGUGCCAGCAGUCGCGGUAAUACGUGGAAGACUAGUGUUAUUCAUCUUUAAUAGGUUUAAAGGGUACCUAGACGGUAUAUCUAGCCCAAAAAGGGUACUAGAUAAACUAGAGUUUAAUGUGAGGGGGUUUCUAGUACUGAUGGAGAAGAGAUGAAAUUCUGUCAUACUAUCAGGUGACUGGUAUCGGCGAAAGCAACCUUUUAUGCAAAAACUGACGUUGAAGGACGAAGGCUAGUAUAACCAACAGGAUUAGUUACCCCAGCAGUCUUAGCAGACAACGCUGAAUGCCAUAGAUUAGAUUAUAUUUCUUCUAUAAAUGAAAGUGUAAGCAUUCCACCUCAAGAGUAA
rnacentral:rRNA from 1 species